UACGAGAGGCCCAAACGUUAUUCGGAAUUACUGGGCUUAAAGAGUUCGUAGGCGGCAUGAAAAGCAGGGUGUGAAAGCCCUCGGCUCAACCGAGGAAUUGCGCUCCGAACUGUCGUGCUUGAGGAACCUAGAGGUGAGCAGAACUGAUGGUGGAGCGGUGAAAUGCGUUGAUAUCAUCAGGAAUACCGGAGGCGAAGGCGGCUCACUGGGGGUUUUCUGACGCUGAGGAACGAAAGCCAGGGGAGCGAACGGG
rnacentral:rRNA from 1 species